AGAUUGAACGCUGGCGGCAGGCCUAACACAUGCAAAUCGAGCGGUAGAGAGGUGCUUGCACCUCUUGAGAGCGGCGGACGGGUGAGUAAUGCCUAGGAAUCUGCCUAGUGGUGGGGGAUAACGUUCGGAAACGGACGCUAAUACCGCAUACGUCCUACGGGAGAAAGCGGGGGACCUUCGGGCCUCGCGCCAUUAGAUGAGCCUAGGUCGGAUUAGCUAGUUGGUGAGGUAAUGGCUCACCAAGGCGACGAUCCGUAACUGGUCUGAGAGGAUGAUCAGUCACACUAGGAACUGAGACACGGGUCCAGACUCCGUACGGGAGGCAGCAGGUGGGGAAUA
rnacentral:rRNA from 1 species